rnacentral:rRNA from 1 species
CAUCCAGAGAACUUAGCAGAGAUGCUUUGGUGCCCUUUCGGGAACUCUGAGACAGGUGCUGCAUGGCUGUCGUCAGCUCGUGUUGUGAAAUGUUGGGUUAAGUCCCGNAACGAGCGCAACCCUUAUCCUUUGUUGCCAGCGGCUCGGCCGGGAACUCAAAGGAGACUGCCGGUGAUAAACCGGAGGAAGGUGGGGAUGACGUCAAGUCAUCAUGGCCCUUACGGCCAGGGCUACACACGUGCUACAAUGGCGCAUACAAAGAGAAGCGACCUCGCGAGAGCAAGCGGACCUCAUAAAGUGCGUCGUAGUCCGGAUUGGAGUCUGCAACUCGACUCCAUGAAGUCGGAAUCGCUAGUAAUCGUAGAUCAGAAUGCUACGGUGAAUACGUUCCCGGGCCUUGUACACACCGCCCGUCACACCAUGGGAGUGGGUUGCAAAAGAAGUAGGUAGCUUAACCUUCGGGAGGGCGCUUACCACUUUGUGAUUCAUGACUGGGGUGAAGUCGUAACAAGGUAGGCGUACGUGU